rnacentral:rRNA from 1 species
UACGUAGGGGGCAAGCGUUGUCCGGAUUUAUUGGGCGUAAAGAGCUCGUAGGCGGCUUGGCAAGUCGGGUGUGAAAACUCCAGGCUCAACCUGGAGAUGCCACUCGAGACUGCUAUGGCUAGAGUCCGGUGGGGGACCACGGAAUUCCUGGUGUAGCGGUGAAAUGCGCAGAUAUCAGGAAGAACACCCGUGGCUAAGGCGGCUCUCUAGUACGGUACUGACGCUGAGACGCGAAAGCGUGGGGAGCGAACAGG